rnacentral:rRNA from 1 species
UACGGAGGGGGCUAGCGUUGUUCGGAAUUACUGGGCGUAAAGCGCACGUAGGCGGCUUUGUAAGUUAGAGGUGAAAGCCCGGGGCUCAACUCCGGAAUUGCCUUUAAGACUGCAUCGCUCGAAUUGUGGAGAGGUAAGUGGAAUUCCGAGUGUAGAGGUGAAAUUCGUAGAUAUUCGGAAGAACACCAGUGGCGAAGGCGGCUCACUGGACCGGUAUUGACGCUGAGGUGCGAAAGCGUGGGGAGCAAACAGG